CACCUGGUAGCACAUGGUGUGCACCUGCCUUCCUUACGCGUGGAACCAGUUAAAGAUGUAGGCAGGAGGUCCCCGUUCGACUCGGGGUCGGGUGA